rnacentral:rRNA from 1 species
GAUGAACGCUGGCGGCGUGCCUAAUACAUGCAAGUCGAGCGAACGGACGAGAAGCUUGCUUCUCUGAUGUUAGCGGCGGACGGGUGAGUAACACGUGGAUAACCUACCUAUAAGACUGGGAUAACUUCGGGAAACCGGAGCUAAUACCGGAUAAUAUUUUGAACCGCAUGGUUCAAAAGUAAAAGACGGUCUUGCUGUCACUUAUAGAUGGAUCCGCGCUGCAUUAGCUAGUUGGUAAGGUAACGGCUUACCAAGGCAACAAUGCAUAGCCGACCUGAGAGGGUGAUCGGCCACACUGGAACUGAGACACGGUCCAGACUCCUACGGGAGGCAGCGGUAGGGAAUCUUCCGCAAUGGGCGAAAGCCUGACGGAGCAACGCCGCGUGAGUGAUGAAGGUCUUCGGAUCGUAAAACUCUGUUAUUAGGGAAGAACAUAUGUGUAAGUAACUGUGCACAUCUUGACGGUACCUAAUCAGAAAGCCACGGCUAACUACGUG